rnacentral:rRNA from 1 species
AUUGAACGCUGGCGGCAGGCCUAACACAUGCAAGUCGAGCGGCAGAAGGGUGCUUGCUCGUGGAUUCAGCGGCGGACGGGCGGGUGAGGCCUAGAAACAUGCGUGGCAGCGGGUGAGAGGGUCCGGAAGUGGGCGCUAAUACGGCAUAACUGCAGAGGGCCAACGGGGGGGAGCAUGGGACCUUACGAUCUUAGGUGAGUCGAUGUCGGAUUAGCUAGUUGGUGGGGUAAAGGCCUACCAAGGCGACGAUCCGUAGCUGGUCUGAGAGGAUGAUCAGCCACACUGGAACUGAGACACGGUCCAGACUCCUACGGGAGGCAGCAGUGGGGAAUAUUGGACAAUGGGCGAAAGCCUGAUCCAGCCAUGCCGCGUGUGUGAAGAAGGUCUUCGGAUUGUAAAGCACUUUUAGUUGGGAAGAAGAGCAGUAAGUUAAUACCUUGCUGUUUUGACGUUACCAAAAGAAUAAGCACCGGCUAACUUCGUG